AUUGAGCUUUGUUACCUCUCCAACGGCAAUCCGAAUGGGUUUUAAAUGCCAACUGGGAUAAGAAUAAUUUUUUCAAUCAAAAUGGAAAAGAAAACUAAAAGAAAGGAGACAAAUGAUUUUUUUUUCCAGUUUAAGGUGUAAUUAAUUUAAAAUUUUUAAUUAAUUAAAAUUAUUUAAUUAAAAACCUGUUCUAGUCUCAAUCAGACAUUCAAGUUGGUAUUUAAAACCCAUUUGGACUGUUGUAUAGGAUUGUCGUUAGGGAGGUAACAGAGCUUAA
rnacentral:pre_miRNA from 1 species